CCAACAGGCUAUGGGGCAUUUAUUCCGUGCCUUUAUGGUUAACCUAUAGACAUGGUGGCAACAUGAAGCAAACUACUUGGAAAAGAGAAUUGAGAGCAUAGAGAGACUAGACAGAGGCAGAAGGAACCUUUGGUACUUUUGUAAAACAGCAAGAGACAAAUGUUGUGGGAAUGUUGAGUCUUGGCAGGGGAUGGAGUGCUUCCUGCAGGAGUUCCUACAGAGCAGAUAUGGAGUCAAGGAUUUCUGAUGAUUAGUUUGGCAGAGAUCCAGGAAUUGUCCAGGCUGCAUUUUCUGACUUCCCAACUAUGAAGCAAGAGGUUGGUUGCACUGGACUUUGAGUAUCUAAUGAACAGUGCACCCAUAGAAGCAUGUGCUGUGGAAGAAAAACGGGAAGCGCUCUAGAAGAUUAAAGAAUAUUACUAAACUACCAAAUUCCCUGGAGGAGUUCAUGGAGUGUCACCUUAACUGAUAAUUUGCAGCCCUGGUACUAGUACCUGGAAACCACUGAACCUGGAUCUACCUGGACAAGGAGUCAACCAAGGCUGAUGAUGAAACCCAGAGAUGUGAAGUUCACAAUGUUGCUGCUGUAGUUGCUAGGAGUAGCUGGGUGCUGGGAACAAUGCAAGAAGAGCUUGCCAUGGUCACAGAGCUGAAAACUUGAUGCAGGAAAAAUGAGACAGAAAUCCACCUACAUUUUUAAAGGAUUUUCCUGCCCCCAGGUUGCCUUCUGAUUCUUUAUGCAUAAUCCAAUCUCCAGACCCUUGUUUGAGUCCCUAUACCUUCCAAAUACUUCUUGGUUGCCCAGCUUCCAUACUUAGCUUUCCAGGAGUCUUCAUUGCCUCUGAAAGUUCAAAUAUUGCGAUAGUCUUGGAUGUUCCUGAGACAGCACGGGUGAUCCUCAUAGGUGAGCUCCUUGGUAAUACUGGAAAUGUUAUAAGGCACAUAAUUUCAUUCCUGUUGGUUUGAAGCAUUUGCUAUUUUGUAUUUAAAACUCUUGUUAUAUUGGCUAUUAUGAGAAUUAUGGAGCUUGUUGAUAUUAUAAAUUAUUGCUGUUGUUAUAGAUUGUGGUUUUGGUCUGUUGGAAAGAGUUAUGUUAAUAACAUACAGAAUGGCAAAGACCUGCCAAACAACUGACAACAAGUGCUGGAGAGGAAGUGGGAAAAGAGUAAUGCCAUGAGCAAGAAAGAUAUGUGUAGUUAGUGUGACAAAAAUUAUAUUUUAAGAUGCUGGUGGUCAUCACACAAAGUU